CCUACGGGAGGCAGCAGUGGGGAAUAUUGGACAAUGGGCGAAAGCCUGAUCCAGCCACGCCGCGUGUGUGAUGAAGGUCUUCGGAUCGUAAAGCACUGUGGAGAGGGACGAAAAGCGCGAGGAACAAUACCCUGGCGCUUUGACGGUACCUCUUUAGCAAGCACCGGCUAACUCCGUGCCAGCAGCCGCGGUAAUACGGAGGGUGCGAACGUUGCUCGGAAUUAUUGGGCGUAAAGCGCGUGUAGGCGGCGAAAUAAGUCGAGUGUGAAAGCCCUGGGCUUAACCCAGGAAGUGCGCUCGAAACUGUUUGGCUAGAGUACGGGAGAGGGUAGCGGAAUUCCCGGUGUAGAGGUGAAAUUCGUAGAUAUCGGGAGGAACACCAGUGGCGAAGGCGGCUCUCUGGUCCGAUACUGACGCUGAGACGCGAAAGCGUGGGGAGCAAACAGGAUUAGAUACCCUGGUAGUCCACGCCGUAAACGAUGGGCACUAGGUGUAGGAGGUAUUGACCCCUUCUGUGCCGAAGCUAACGCAUUAAGUGCCCCGCCUGGGGAGUACGGCCGCAAGGCUAAAACUCAAAGGAAUUGACGG
rnacentral:rRNA from 1 species